rnacentral:rRNA from 1 species
AUUGAACGCUGGCGGCAGGCCUAACACAUGCAAGUCGAGCGAGCGGCGGACGGGUGAGUAAUGUCUGGGAAUCUGCCCGAUAGAGGGGGAUAACUACUGGAAACGGUGGCUAAUACCGCAUACCAUCAGAUGUACCCAGAUGGGAUUAGCUAGUAGGUGGGGUAAAGGCUCACCUAGGCGACGAUCCCUAGCUGGGCUGAGAGGAUGACCAGCAAAACUGGAACUGAGACACGGCCCAGACUCCUACGGGAGGCAGCAGUGGGGAAUAUUGCACAAUGGGCGCAAGCCUGAUGCAGCCAUGCCGCGUGUAUGAAGAAGGCCUUAGGGUUGUAAAGCACUUUCAGCGGGGAGGCGUUACCCGCAGAAGAAGCACCGGCUAACUCCGUGCCAGCAGCCGCGGUAAUAC